rfam:Schistosoma rodhaini strain Burundi genome assembly, scaffold: SROB_scaffold0007743
ACACUGCUGAGGAGUCCCAUAAUAGGACGAAACGGCCGUUCAAUGC